AACGAACGCUGGCGGCAGGCUUAACACAUGCAAGUCGAACGAGAUCUUCGGAUCUAGUGGCAGACGGGUGAGGAACACGUGGGAACAUCCCUUUCAGUUCGGAAUAACGUUGGGAAACUAACGCUAAUACCGGAUACGUCCUUCGGGAGAAAGAUUUAUCGCUGAAAGAUUGGCCCGCGUCUGAUUAGCUAGUUGGUGAGGUAACGGCUCACCAAGGCUACGAUCAGUAGCUGAUCUGAGAGGAUGAUCAGCCACAUUGGGACUGAGACACGGCCCAAACUCCUACGGGAGGCAGCAGUGGGGAAUAUUGGACAAUGGGCGCAAGCCUGAUCCAGCCAUGCCGCGUGAGUGAUGACGGCCUUCGGGUUGUAAACUCCUUUCGCUAGGGACGAAGCCUUUUUAGGUGACGGUACCUGGAGAAGAAGCACCGGCUAACUACGUGCCAGCCGCCGCCGUAA
rnacentral:rRNA from 1 species